GAUCAUUCCUUUAAUACUCCAAAAAAACUCUCAUUCUUUCUGCGCCGCCUCAAUCAAAACCUACAUUCCCGUUUUGAGUUCAUUCAUUUCAUCAUCGCCACUGCUUCGCUUCGUUCCAUCAUUGAGGUCUUUCAAUUUUGAUGUUGCUGACUAUCUUCAGGUAUGAUAUUUCUUUAUCGUCUUCAUGAUUUCUGUUCAGAUCUCGAACGAUUUUGGAUUCGUAUGUUAUGGUUGUAAUUUGAAAAUUUUCUUCUCACACAAUCAAUUGCGCGCAUAUUAGAGUAUUACAGUGCGUUUUUAUGAGUAAAACAUGUUCAUGUUUAUCACUCUUUUACCAUUCAAUGUAUUACACCUCUAAAUUGAACCCUAAUACAAACAUGCAAUAAGAUUUAUAGUCUAUAACUGAAUUUUAUGGUGGAUUACUGCUUAAUUUGAGUCUGAUUCGUAAAUAGAAGUGUUUAUUAUUCAAUCGCAUUACUUUUCUAAUUUUGUUCAAGUUCUGGAAAUUAGAUCCUGGUAGUGGAAACAAUUACUCAUGUCUGAAGGUUGUUGAAAUUUUUGGUUUAGAGCACAUAAAUGUUGGAUAUCUUUUGAGGAAGGAGACGUAUUCUCGUAGUUAAAGGAGGCAUCCGUCUUCUAGUUUUAACAGUGGUUCAUCUUUAGUUUAGUUUUGUUUUGAUGAGACUAAAAACGUAUCAGAUCUAGAUUGAUAGUUCAAAAAUAAUGAACGUAAUUUGAAAAGACGCUUAAUCUAAGAAACUCCUUUGCUUUUCUGCUUUGUUUUCAUGUUCUGUUUCUCUAGUAUGUCUCUUGGCCUCUUACUUUAUGAGAACUUUUUUUAACCAAGGAAUCCCUGAGGGAAGUUGGCGCAAUUUGAAGCUCGAUUUGAAGAAGCUCUUCAACUCCUUUAAUAUGUCGACUUCACUUAACAUGUAGCGUUUAUUUUCUUCUUGCUUGUUCAGACAUAUUUCAUGAGCACAAUUAAGAUGAGCCUGAAGCUCAACCCGAGGGCCAAACUGCAACACAGACUCUUCGCUCAGAGAUAUUGCAGGACACAAUGUUAGUGAUAAUGUCAAGCAUCUGACACCUAGCUGACACAAUCGAGUAAAGC
rnacentral:lncRNA from 1 species